GACGAACCGUGCGAACGUUGUUCGGAAUCACUGGGCUUAAAGGGCGCGUAGGCGGGCGGGCAAGUCGGAGGUGAAAGCCCACAGCUCAACUGUGGAAGUGCCUUCGAUACUGCCGGUCUAGAGGGAGGUAGGGGCGUGCGGAACUUCCGGUGGAGCGGUGAAAUGCGUAGAUAUCGAGAGGAACACCUGCGGCGAAGGCGGGUUGCUGGGCUGACACUGACGCUGAGGCGCGAAAGCUAGGGGAGCGAACAGG
rnacentral:rRNA from 1 species